GUCUACAGCCAUGCCACCCUGAACAAGCUGGAUCCUGUCUGAUCUCGGAAGCUAAUAAGCAGGGUCGGGCCUAGUUAGUACUUGGAUGAGAGACCACGUAGGAAGACCAGGUGCUGUAGGCG
rnacentral:rRNA from 1 species